AAAAUAAAUCCUACUACUUCUGGUCCUGGGGGUUUCCGCACUUGAAAAAAAAACCUGGGGCGUAUUGCUCAAAUCAUUGGUCCGGUACUAGAUGUAUCUUUUCCACCCGGCAAGAUGCCUAAUAUUUACAACGCUCUGGUAGUUAAGGGUCGAGAUACCGCUGGUCAACAAAUUAAUGUGACUUGUGAAGUACAGCAAUUAUUAGGAAAUAAUCGAGUUAGAGCGGUAGCUAUGAGUGCUACAGAUGGUCUAACGAGAGGAAUGGAAGUAAUUGAUACAGGAGCUCCUUUAAGUGUUCCAGUCGGCGGAGCGACUCUAGGACGUAAUUUUUAACGUACUUGGAGAGCCUGUGGAUAAUUUAGGUCCUGUAGAUACUCGUACAACAUCUCCUAUUCAUAGAUCUGCGCCUGCCUUUAUACAGUUAGAUAACAAAAUUAUCCAUUUUUGAAACAGGAAUUAAAGUCGUAGAUCUUCUACGCCCCCUAUCGUCGUGGAAGGAAAAAUCGGUACUUUUUGGGGGGAGCUGGAGUAGGUAAAACAGUACUC